GCCUGGGUGGCUCAGUCGGUUGAGCGUCCGACUUCGGCUCAGGUCAUGAUCUCACAGUUUGUGAGUUCGAGCCCCGCAUCAGGCU
rfam:Felis catus isolate Cinnamon breed Abyssinian chromosome A2, whole genome shotgun sequence.